rnacentral:rRNA from 1 species
UACGAAGGGGGCUAGCGUUGUUCGGAAUUACUGGGCGUAAAGGGCGCGUAGGCGGUGUGUCAAGUCAGGCGUGAAAGCCCCGGGCUCAACCUGGGAACCGCGCUUGAGACUGGCACGCUCGAGUUCGGGAGAGGAUGGUGGAAUUCCCAGUGUAGAGGUGAAAUUCGUAGAUAUUGGGAAGAACACCGAUGGCGAAGGCAGCCAUCUGGACCGACACUGACGCUGAGGCGCGAAAGCCAGGGGAGGCAAACGGG